ensembl:lncRNA
AUGGACAUAAGGCAUUGGUACAGAAAACACAUGCUCUGUGGGUUCCCAGUGUGCUGUGCUUUGGCAGGCCUCAGUCUCCCCUUAGAUUCUAUGAAUGCACAAAAUAGUUUAGAAUUCCAUGAGCUGAAAUGUGCACAAAAUGAGUGUUUUAACAGACUUAUAGUGAAACCAAAGGAGCAAGGAGAUAGAACACAAAUCUGCAGUCAUACAGCUGUCUCUAGAGAGUCAUGUGGAGGCUGUGAAUCAGUUAUCACCCCCCCUCCCAUGGUGUGGCCUCCUGAGAGUCUAAGCUCUGGGUCCCCAGGUGCUGACAGAUGCUUGCCUGAAUAGAGAAGUAAUUGCCACAGUCUGCUAGCAGGUGAGGAUUUUAUAGGUGGGGAGGGAAAUGGCCAAGGGGUGUUGAGAGUAGGAGAGAGAGUGGGUUUGGGGAGUGCUUAAGAGGUAUAUAAAAAUGUUGUCACUCGGUUGAGCUUAAGGUUGUAGAUUUCACAUCAUAGAGGAAAGUAAGCUAAUAGGACCUUCACUUUGGAAGGGGAGAUUUUUACACAAAGAGAAGAGUGCUUCAUUUUUAUAACAAAUAUUAACUGGACAGUGACUACACGACAAUCACUGGAACUUCCAAAGAGCUUAAAUAGAUGGUCUAGACACCUCUGAACCAGUGCACAAAAAAAGCCACUGAACCAGGAAACCAGAAGACAAAGAAAUAGCCAGAAAUAGGUGAGUUUCAACACUGUUAUGAACACUAACACACAGUGUUUCACGUCAACACAUCUUCCUGCCUGGAUGUUGAGAACUCAGCUUGAUCACUGAUAAAAUGCCUCCAAAGGGGCUGGUAGAGAUGUUGAGGUCCUCUUUUCCAUCCAGUUUAUUGUCUCUUAACUGGUGCUAAGUUUUGGAAAUAGUUCGAAUGUGUCUAUCAAGACUUUAUCUGUUGGGACCUUGGUCUUCAGAGUGGUGUUUGUUAGGAGGUGGUGGAACCUUUAAGAGGUGGGACCUACUGGGAAGUGAUGAGGUCAUUGGAGGUGUUGCCCUCAGCAGAAAUUAAGGUUGUUCUUGUGGGACUCUUGUUAGUUCUAGUGAGAAGGCCUCUGGUCACUCUGACUUCCUGUCUUGAGGUGUCCUCUCUUUCUGUUGCAGGCAUUCCCACUAUGACGCCAUUUACCAUGAUAUGAAGCAGCCAGGGGAGCCUUCCCAGAGCUAGAACCAUGUUCUUGAAUCUCCAGAAACUCCAGAUAUUCUCUCAAAUUUCAUAUGUUGAAAUCUUAAGCCUCAGUGCGGUGAUAGUAUAAAGAAGGGCCUUUGGGAAGCAUUUAAGUUGAAUUUGGAGCUCUCAUGAAUGAGAUUGGCACCCUUAUAAAUGAGACCCCAGAGAACUGCUUACUGCUCUCUACCAUGUGAAAGUACAAGAAGUCAGUUAUUUGAAAACUGAAAGAGGGCCCUCACAAGAACCCAUUCAUGCUAGCACCCUGAUGUUGGACUUUUCAGCCCCCAGACCUGUGAGCAAUAAUUUUUGUGUUGUUUAUGGUACCCAGCCUGUGGCAUUCUGUUAUAAUUGCCUGAAGUGACCAAGAUUCCAGAAGUGAAUUGUGUUGCAAGUCUGGUGCCUUGACGAGAUCAAAGGUGGGAACAGCAAAGAACAGAUUCCUAGAUGUGUAAAUUGAACAACAUAACUUGAAGAAAGAAACAAUUGAUGUUCUUUUUGGCUAAUUGUGAUUAGUUCAUUUAUUGUUUCUAGUUUAUUAUACAAAAAUAUAGCUAUGUAUUAAUCAUUUUUAUGAUAUUUUCUACAGGAUAAAAAUAUGAAUUGUUUUCUAAUUCCUGAAUACUCCCUUUCCACUCAUUGCUGUGAGGACAACUGCCAAGUGGCAGCAGAACUGCUACGCCGAAUGUCUUGGAGGAAAACCAUCACAUCAUUUAUUUCUUUACCUCCAAGAACAUGUCAGGGACCUACAAUUAGAUUUCAGGUGUUAUAAGAAGAAUAAACAAAUUACAAUCUUUACUUUCCA